CGGUCCGGCACGAAUCGCUAGUCCUCUCCCUUAGGCAUGCUCGGGCUCGCUCGCCAACCAAUGCUGGACUUCCUCCCUCAGGCAAUCAGGCCCUGUUCCGCAACCCGUCCCUCGAGCACGAGCUUCCGCUGGAGUUGCUCUUAGAUUUGUAAGCGCAUAAGGUCUCUUUUUUAAUUCAUGCGCACUUGACAAAAGUUGCAAGGAGUUGCAUCUUUCAUUGUCAUUUGUAAAUCAGUAAUAGAAACGACACAAUCAAAAGCAUGUCAUUCAAAUACUUUGAUUGUAACCAAGACAAUAAUUAAGGGGGAUGGAAUUAGAAGCAUGUCAUUGCAUUUGUUGAUUUUUAAUGUGAAUGUUUAUUGGACUCAAUAAUUUCGUAUCGCAUUUCGGAUGAAAAAUUAAACAGAAGAAAAAUCAAAAUUUUCUUAACCACACAUCACUACAAUACAUUAUACAAAAGAAGAAAAGAAAAUGAUCGCAAACUAUUUUUUUCUUGGCAACUCUGUGAAACAGAAAUUAUAAUGAGUUAUAUACCAAAGAAAAAGGAAAAAGGAAAAAGGUUUAUGGUAUUGCUUGAAAUUCCGAUUACCAUGAUGGCUUCACAUGCAAAAGCAUAGUAAGUCUCAAUUCUUCAUGAUCAAAAGCAAGCAUCAAUUUUAAACAAUAUGAGAAAUGGUAAAUAAACUAUCACGAUAAAAAAUUUAAUGUUAUUCGCAACAGACUCCAAAUGAGAAGCAUUAAACUCCAGGGAUAAAUAUCUAGAACCACUAUAUAUUUGUAACCAUAGGAAAUCCCAUACAGAGGAUAUUGAGGCGGAAAAGAUUGAUUAAGAAAACAAAAGCCAAUAUCGGGCAUAAUGUUACAGUAUAUUAAGCUUUCUUAAAAGAAAAAAAAAUGGGGACAAAGAAAUAACACAACAACUAUGAAAAGAAAGACUAACAAUGAUGAUAUGCAGAAAGGUUUUUAUCACAAGUAGUCUUU
rnacentral:lncRNA from 1 species